GUGCAACUGGGCCACUUGCACAUUGGCAGCUUAGGAGAAAGUGAGAGCCGAUCACUUUUUCUCAGCUAUGCAGAGAGCCUGCGUGGGAGGCAGAGAAGAAGGAGGAGAAGGUGGCACAGGCAGCAUGGGGGAGAGGAGCAAGGAGAGAGCUACUCCAGACACCACGCUCCCAUCAACCUAUGCCAGCAGCAGGACUCCAAGCAAGCCGCCCUCUUGCACACAAAAGGUGUGUUAACAGAAGUGUGUCUGCAAAUAUAAAACUUAUGGUACAUAUGUAUGUGUGUGUGUCUCUGAGUGUUUGUGUAUGUUUUUUGUUCGAUAGAUUCCAUCGGUAUAUAUAUAUAUAUACCUCUGAUGUCUGCAUUGUUUUGCAUUUACUUUGGUUUGGCCAUUUGGGGCCACUGUAGUUUUCCUCUGAUGAUUCAGUACUCUAAGCCAAUGUGUUCUUGUAUCUUAGCAAUGAGCAUCAUGACGCACAAUGCUGAUGGAUGUCAUACGUCGUGACACUAUAAUGUGACCGUGGGUUAUUCGGUGAAGACAGAGAAGAUGGCAACGGACCAAGAACAUGAGUCCCAUCAUCUACAUACACAUUGGGGGCGGGCUUAUUAUGAUUUUUUGAGCACUAUUGUACACAAAUUGGUGAGUGUUGUUAUGUUUGGUAAGGACAAAUGCACUGAAG